UACGUAGGGUGCAAGCGUUGUCCGGAAUUAUUGGGCGUAAAGAGCUCGUAGGCGGUUUGUCGCGUCUGCUGUGAAAACGCAAGGCUCAACCUUGCGCCUGCAGUGGGUACGGGCAGACUAGAGUGUGGUAGGGGAGAUUGGGAAUUCCUGGUGUAGCGGUGGAAUGCGCAGAUAUCAGGAGGAACACCGAUGGCGAAGGCAGCUCGCUGGGACGGUACUGACGCUGAGACG
rnacentral:rRNA from 1 species